rnacentral:misc_RNA from 1 species
GAUGAAGAACGUAGCGAAAUGCGAUACGUAAUGUGAAUUGCAGAAUUCAGUGAAUCAUCGAGUCUUUGAACGCACAUUGCGCCCCCUGGUAUUCCGGGGGGCAUGCCUGUCCGAGCGUCAUUGCUACCCUCAAGCACGGCUUGUGUGUUGGGCCUCCGUCCUCCUCCCGGGGGACGGGCCCGAAAGGCAGCGGCGGCACCGCGUCCGGUCAUCGAGCGUAUGGGGCUUCGUCACCCGCUCUUGUAGGCCCGGCCGGCGCUUGCCGACACAUCAAUCUUUUUUCCAGGUUGACCUCGGAUCAGGUAGGGAUACCCGCUGAACUUAAGCAUAUCAAUAAGCGGAGGA